rnacentral:rRNA from 1 species
GACGAACGCUGGCGGCGUGCCUAAUACAUGCAAGUAGAACGAGUUGCGAACGGGUGAGUAUCGCGUGGUAACCUGCCUCCUAGCGGGGGAUAACUAUUUGAAACGAUAGCUAAUACCGCAUAUCAUGAGAUGGAACUGCGUUGUAUUAGCUAGUUGGUGAGGUAAAGGCUCACCAAGGCGACGAUCCCUAGCUGGUCUGAGAGGAUGACCGGCCACACGGGAACGGAGACACGGUCCAGACUCCGACGGGAGGCAGCAGUGGGGAAUAUUGCACAAGGGGCGCAAUCCGGAUGCAUCCAGCGGGUGUGUGAAGAAGGCCUUCGGGUUGUAAAGCACGUUCAGCGAGGAGGCGUUACUCGCAGAAGAAGCACCGGCUAACUCCGUGCCAGCCGCCGCGGUAAUAC